ACGGAAGGCAGCAGUGGGGAAUAUUGCACAAUGGUGGAAACCCUGAUGCAGCGACGCCGCGUGAGGGAAGACGGUUUUCGGAUUGUAAACCUCUGUUCUUGGUGACGAAGAAGUGACGGUAGCCAAGGAGAAAGCCACGGCUAACUACGUGCCAGCAGCCGCGGUAAUACGUAGGUGGCAAGCGUUAUCCGGAAUUACUGGGUGUAAAGGGAGCGCAGGCGGGACAGCAAGUCAGCGGUGAAAUGUAUGGGCUCAACCCAUGAACUGCCGUUGAAACUGUUGUUCUUGAGUGGAGUAGAGGUAGGCGGAAUUCCGAGUGUAGCGGUGAAAUGCGUAGAUAUUAGGAGGAACACCAGUGGCGAAGGCGGCUUUCUGGACUGUAACUGACACUGAGGCACGAAAGCGUGGGGAGCAAACAGGAUUAGAUACCCUGGUA
rnacentral:rRNA from 1 species